UACGGGGGGGGCAAGCGUUGUUCGGAAUUACUGGGCGUAAAGGGCUCGUAGGCGGCCAACUAAGUCAGACGUGAAAUCCCUCGGCUUAACCGGGGAACUGCGUCUGAUACUGGUUGGCUUGAGUUUGGGAGAGGGAUGCGGAAUUCCAGGUGUAGCGGUGAAAUGCGUAGAUAUCAUGAGGAACACCAGAGGCGGAGGCGGCUACCUGGACAGUUACUGACGCUCAGGCACGAAAGCGUGGGGAGCAAAAGGG
rnacentral:rRNA from 1 species